UCCUUCUCCUGGUGUCCAUUUCUGGAACUGCUAUUUGUAUAUUGCAUGAUAUUUUAUCAGGAAAAAAAAUAAAACAGAUCUAAUUUCAUGAAAAUGCUGUUGCCAUAAUGCUCAGGAGAACAGGGGGAAGAGAGAGAUUCAAGUCUUCCUAAUGUCUACCUUAUAUGCAGAGCCUUGGAAAGAUGGGCAAAUGCUCUGUGACAAGCCACCAGGGUAGACUGGUACUGAAAAGACCCUACUACACACAGGGGCUCUGUCCCUGUCUGGAAAGUUACAAGUCAGCCUACCUCUCUGUGAUCUGGUUUCCACACCUACUACUCUUUAUCCCAUGAGGAGCUUCUGGAAACUAAAAAAGCAGCUGCCCAGGUAGAAGAGUGUUGACCAAAGGACACAUCACCAACACAGACUGUUAAUCAUGUGACUAGAGAAAACUCUCAUGGUGGCAUUCAAAUUUCCAUAUGCUCCUUCUAUGGAAAUUUCUGAGAGACCCAGAAAAGAAGCGUAACCACGAGGGAAAGUGAUUCCUGCAGACCUGAACAUUCCAGACUUACCAGGUGAUCCAGCUGUCUGUCAGCGGGAAGAGGCUGAGGCGCCCCCUUCUGGUGCAUCUGAAUAGUAAGAAACCCUGUGUGGAAAGAAACCCUGUAGCAACUGGGCACCUUCUCUGUGAUCAGUCCGCUUCCAAUACCAAAAUUGUUGCUUUUUAAAUGACAUCCAUCCUAAGCUUAAAAAAGAUGCAUAUUAUUUGUAUAAAAUGUGGAAGACGCAGAACAAAAAAUGUAAAUCACAUGUAAUCAUCCCUUCCAGAAAUAAUCAUUAUUAAAAUUUCUGUGUAUGUGUAAAAAAAAAUUGCAAUCCUAUUGUAAUAUAAUCCUGUAUACUGAUAUUUUUCACCUAUCACUGUAUGUUGAGCAUUUUCAAUAGUCAAAUUAUUUCUUGAAAAUAUUAAUGACUGGGGAGUAACCUUUCAAAUAGGUGUGUCUUUAUUUUUAAACCAGUCCACAAUUAUUGUAUAUUGAAGUCAUUUCCCAAAUUUUGUAAGUAUAACUAUUGCAUCCAUCCUUAUAUGUAUUUAAAUGCAUCUCUUAUUAUUUCCUUGAGAUAAGUUCCUAGAAGUGGAAUCACUGGAUUUAAAAAUGUGGACAUAUUUAUGCCAGACGCGGUGGGUCAUGCCUGUAAUCCCAGCACUUUGGGAGACCGAAGCAGGUGGAUCACUUGAGGUCAGGAGUUUGAGACCAGCCUGGCCAACAUAGUGAAACCCCAUCUCUACUAAAAUUACAAAAAUUAGCCAGGUGUGGUGGUGCACGCCUGUAAUCCCAGCUACUCAGGAGGCUGAGGCAUAAGAAUCACUUGAACUCAGGAGGCGGAGGUUGCAGUGAGCCGAGAUGGCACCACUGCGCUCCAGUCUGAGUGACAGAGUAAGACUUCAUCUCAAAAAUAAAUAAAUAAAAUUAAAAUUAAGUAAGAUAAAUAAAAAAUAAAAAUGUGGACAUAUUUAAAUCUUCAUAUAUAUUACCAAAUGCCCUCCUGAAAGUUUUUACCUGUUACAUUCCAACCAAUAGUGUAAGGGCAUGACUCUUUCCCUGUGUUUUGGGAUGGAUGUUAUCAAAGUUCUCUCCCACCCAGGCCAAGUAUGGUAUAUGCUCUGUUUUAAUUUGAAUUUUUAAAUUAUUAUUUAAAAUGGACAUUUUGUUGUCCAUUUGAACAACUUUCUUUUGAGUCACUGUUCAUGUUCUUUGCCCAUUGUUUCUCUUUUAUUAGUAAGAACCCUAUUGUCAUUUUUAUAUUUUAAAUAAAAUUUCAUUGUAUAUACAUUUAUGUUAUCUAUAGUAAAGUAUAUUUUAUUAUUAAUGAGAACUCUUUUUAUAUUAAAGAUCCUAACCUACU